rnacentral:rRNA from 1 species
UACGUAGGGUGCGAGCGUUGUCCGGAAUUAUUGGGCGUAAAGAGCUUGUAGGCGGUUUGUCGCGUCUGCUGUGAAAAUCCGGGGCUCAACUCCGGACUUGCAGUGGGUACGGGCAGGCUAGAGUGUGGUAGGGGAGACUGGAAUUCCUGGUGUAGCGGUGAAAUGCGCAGAUAUCAGGAGGAACACCGAUGGCGAAGGCAGGUCUCUGGGCCACUACUGACGCUGAGAAGCGAAAGCAUGGGGAGCGAACAGG